rnacentral:rRNA from 1 species
CCUACGGGUGGCAGCAGUGAGGAAUAUUGGUCAAUGGACGCAAGUCUGAACCAGCCAUGCCGCGUGCAGGAAGACGGCUCUAUGGGUUGUAAACUUCUUUUGUACGGGAGUAAAUCGCGGUACGUGUACCUGUUUGACUGUAUCAUACGAAUAAGGAUCGGCUAACUCCGUGCCAGCAGCCGCGGUAAUACGGAGGAUUCGAGCGUUAUCCGGAUUUAUUGGGUUUAAAGGGUGCGUAGAUGGGUCGGUAAGUCAGAUGUGAAAGCUCGGGGCUCAACCCCGGCACUGCUAUUGAUACUGGCUGGCUAGAGUACAGUUGCGGUAGGCGGAAUUCAUGGUGUAGCGGUGAAAUGCAUAGAGAUCACGAAGAACACCGAUUGCGAAGGCAGCCUACUAAACUGCGACUGACGUUGAGGCACGAAAGCGUGGGGAGCAAACAGGAUUAGAUACCCGGGUAGUC